AGAAUCAACGCUGGCGGCGUGCCUAACACAUGCAAGUCGAACGAGAAAGUGGAGCAAUCCAUGAGUAAAGUGGCGACCGGGUGAGUAACACGUGACUAACCUACCUUCGAGUGGGGGAUAACCUCGGGAAACCGAGGCUAAUACCGCAUAACAUCGCAAGAUCAAAGCAGCAAUGCGCUGGAAGAGGGGGUCGCGGCCUAUCAGCUUGUUGGUGAGGUAACGGCUCACCAAGGCGACGACGGGUA
rnacentral:rRNA from 1 species